CGCUGCAUCCGGCGCAAGCGCGAUUUUUGGCUACUUAGGCCUAGCCCCGACGAAGCCAGUGUUUGAGACUACAUGGAGGUUGACUCCAGUAUGGGACUGUUCCGUAUGAGAAACAUCACCGCAGGAUGCUCUGGUUGGCCGUAGAAUGGGGCUGGUACUUGCCUCUCACCCUCCUCCUUGCCCACCCGCAAGGCCUGGGAAGGGCUCUGCCACUUGUGGCCUGCAGGCUUGUAAUGCUUGGAUAGUUCUCCCUCCAGCCACCUCCUCGAGGAACUCCUGCUCCCUGACUCACUCAUGCAGAGUGAAGCUGAAAGAGGAGUCGAGGACAUGACUCUGUACCGAGAACUUCAGAUGCUACUGCCCCAGUGUUUCUAUGGACCUAAGGAAAUAACUGAAACAUCAAAGCUUCCUUUUAAUGUCUGAGAAUAUGUGUUGAACACAGAAGUGCAACCCUGCUAAGGAUUUGAGUCCUUUAUAAUUCACCCUAAGAUCUAAUGUAAGACUUUAUCUUUUUCAUGUAAGGCAUCUGUUUAAAACAGCAUUCAUAAUUUUAUGGGCUACAUAAAUAUA